UCAAGAUGUGUACAUUUUAUUUUUAAUCAUUUUAAAAUUUGAAUUGCAAUUUUCGUUACAUUUGAUCUGUAAGAAUUCGAUUCUGAAUCAUUUUCAUUUCAAAUCGAUUCACACACAUAGCAGACGCUAACACAUCAAGCGUCAUCAAUAGCGUGGUCUGUGGAUGCUAUCGCUGGAGUAAGGCGUUUACCUUCAAUUCGGGUAGCGUAAUGAUUGGCCUACCCUGAUGGCGUCAUGAUCGCUGCUGAUUGCCUUUCAAAUAGGUUUUCAGCAUUCUGCUUACACCUUUGGCAUAGAGUCACAUAUUUCACAAUCCAACAUCAAUUGGUACCAACAGCAGCCCUUCUCUCAAUCAUCCAGAAGGGUCUGAGAUCAGUGUUGGAGAUGAUGGUUCGGAACAACCCAUGGAAAGCUUAUCACUCAUUGAUUAUGUGAUGCCUGAUGUUGUUGCAAGUCGUCAACAGCACUUUGGGACAUCAUAAAGGACCUUCUUUCGCACUAAAAUGGAACAAAAAUGGCAACUAUAUCCUCAGUGCUGGAUUCAACAUUGAAACGACCAUCAUUUGGGACGCUUCAACGAGUCAGUGCACGCAGCAGUUUGCUUUCCAUUCCGGCCCAGCACUCGACGUAGAUUGGCAGUCGAAUGUCAGUUUUGCAUCAUGCUCCACUGACCAGUGUAUUUAUGUUUGUAAGCUGGGCAGUAACAAGCCAACCAAAUCCUUCCAAGGACAUACGAAUGAAGUAAACGCCAUUAAGUGGGAUCCUUAGGGUAAUCUUUUGGCUUCCUGUUCUGACGAUAUGACGCUCAAGAUGUGGUCCAUGAAACAAGCCACCUGUGUUCAUGAUUCGCAAGCACACGACAAGGAAAUCUACACCAUGAAAUGGAGUCCUACCGGUCUUGGAACAAAUAACCCAAACAUGAAUCUGAUUUCGGCUAGCGCUUUAUAACGAAUGCUAUUCAGGUCAUUACAUUACAUACGGAGUAUUAAAACGUAG